rnacentral:sRNA from 1 species
GGUGAUUGGCGUGAAGCUGACGGGCUCUCUCUCCGGUUGGUCCUCACCCAAAGAUGUGAUCCUGAAGGUGGCAGGCAUCCUCACGGUGAAAGGUGGCACAGGUGCAAUCGUGGAAUACCACGGGCCUGGUGUAGACUCCAUCUCCUGCACUGGCAUGGCGACAAUCUGCAACAUGGGUGCAGAAAUUGGGGCCACCACUUCCGUGUUCCCUUACAACCACAGGAUGAAGAAGUACCUGAGCAAGACCGGCCGGGAAGACAUUGCCAAUCUAGCUGAUGAAUUCAAGGAUCACUUGGUGCCUGACCCUGGCUGCCAUUAUGACCAACUAAUUGAAAUUAACCUCAGUGAGCUGAAGCCACACAUCAAUGGGCCCUUCACCCCUGACCUGGCUCACCCUGUGGCAGAAGUGGGCAAGGUGGCAGAGAAGGAAGGAUGGCCUCUGGACAUCCGAGUGGACGCCCUGGCAUGCCAGUCACUGGCAUCUGCUGCUGCUGGGUACAGUGUGGCUGUGAAGAGCAUGGAUCCUGGAGCCAGAUGGCCUGGGCUUGAAUCCUGGCUCUGCCACCUAACAGCUGAGUGACCCUGAGCAAACUACUUCACUGUCUAUGUGUGGGUUCCCCAUCUGUAAAACAGGAGUCAUGAUCGUACUGACACCUUUGAAGGUGGUGUUGGGCCUAUUGCUGCUAUCACCAAUGAGAAAAAUAAAUAAAAAAUAAAGUUGUCUGGAGAAGUGACAA